CUCCUUUCACAUUAUCAAUUUUCUUUGAGAUUUCCUUGUUUAUUUGGUAAGAUUGGUGACACUUUACAGAUAAAAACAUAGAUCACAACUUCCCAUUGACGAUUGUCUUUCCACUCACUUUUUCUUCUUUUUGUUCAACUCUAUUUUCUCGUUUCACACUUCAUUUUCUAUAAUGGAACAAUUUUAAAACAUUACAUGUCUAAAAAUUAGAUAUUGUAAUAUACAAAAAAUAAAAAUAAUAAAAUAAAAUAAAAUAAAAGAUUUAUUACCAUAUUUUAAUUGUCAUUAAGAUUUUGAAGUUUUUUCAUUGUAACCUUCUAUUUAUUAUGACGUCACGGUAUGGAACGUGGCAACAAUACAAUAGACGUUAAUUAAAACCAUGAUUCUAUCAAAAUUAAUGCAAAAGAAAAUUAUAAAAAUAUAUAUUUAUCCCCUAACAAAGUCUAGUGAUUUGAUAUUGACAAAAAUAAAUAUUAUAUUCGACGUUGUGAGUAUGGGACCAAAUCUCCUCCAAUCGAGUCAAUCACUCAAAACGCUUCAGGACCAAAGAUGCAAGAUUGAUUCAAAUCAUUUAUUAAUAAUUAUUUAAUAAGAAUAAUCAAUGGAAAUUUUAUCGAUCAUAAUAUAUUUACUUUGAAUAGAAUAAUCUUGAAAAUCCUAAAACAAACGGGGCAAGGAACAAAGAUAAAUGAAUAUGUUACAAUAGAAUAAAGAAGUGGGAGAAAGCUGUAGGGUGUUAUAUACAUUUUUUUAGUACGUUUGGCUCCCAUUAAUUUUCUUUUCAUUACAUUUCAUUUUUCUCUCUUAUUUUCAACCACAAAAUCUUCUAUAAAAUAAUAUUACACGUAAACAAAAUUUUUUUUUUCAACCAUUAAUUUUUAAAAAAAUACUAUUCCAUUUAUUUUCUUUUCUACAAAGUGGGGGCCAAAGAAGGACGUAGUCUCGCGUUUACCAAGAACCUUCAUGGAAAGAAAUUAAGAGCAAAAUUCAAUUAUUGAACCAAAGGAAGGGCCUGUCAUGUCAGGAGGUGGUUGGAAAUUUUCAUGAAGGACCGAGCUCCACAUAUAGGAGGUCGGUUCACAAGGGCCUCACUGUAGAGGUUGGGCCCCACACACAUUAAAAAAAGUUGGCCCCCACCUCCCCUCUCACUUGACAGCCCUAUACUUGCAUCUUUUUCCAUGAAGUAUCAAUGCAAUUAUUGAACAAAAGAGACAAAAUAUCUCUAAGCUAACUAUUAUUUUUUUU
rnacentral:lncRNA from 1 species